rnacentral:rRNA from 1 species
AAAGCUCAAAUUUAAAAUCCGGCAGUCGUUGAUUGUCUGAGUUGUAAUCUAGAGAAGCAUUAUCCGCACUGGACUGUGUACAAGUCUUCUGGAAUGAAGCAUCACAGAGGGUGAAAAUCCCGUCUUUGACACAGACUACCAGAGCUUUGUGAUGUGCUCUCGAAGAGUCGAGUUGUUUGGGAAUGCAGCUCUAAAUGGGUGGUAAAUUCCAUCUAAAGCUAAAUAUUGGCGAGAGACCGAUAGCGAA